UACAGAGGUCUCAAGCGUUGUUCGGAUUCAUUGGGCGUAAAGGGUGCGUAGGCGGCGCGGUUAAGUCGGGUGUGAAAUCUCGGAGCUUAACUCCGAAACUGCAUUCGAUACUGCCGUGCUUGAGGACUGGAGAGGAGACUGGAAUUUACGGUGUAGCGGUGAAAUGCGUAGAUAUCGUAAAGGAAGACCGUGGCGAAGGCGGGUCUCGUGGAC
rnacentral:rRNA from 1 species